rnacentral:rRNA from 1 species
GACGUAGGGGGCCAGCGUUGUUCGGAAUUACUGGGUGUAAAGGGUUCGUAGGCGGUGCGGCAAGUUGGGAGUGAAAUCUCUGGGCUUAACCCAGAGGCUGCUUCCAAAACUGCUGUGCUUGAGUGUGGGAGAGGCGCGUGGAAUUGCAGGUGUAGCGGUGAAAUGCGUAGAUAUCUGCAGGAACACCCGUGGCGAAAGCGGCGCGCUGGACAACUACUGACGCUGAGGAACGAAAGCUAGGGGAGCAAACAGG